CCUACGGGGGGCAGCAGUGGGGAAUAUUGGACAAUGGGGGCAACCCUGAUCCAGCCAUGCCGCGUGUGUGAAGAAGGCCCUCGGGUUGUAAAGCACUUUCAGUGAGGAAGAACGCCUGGUGGUUAAUACCCAUCAGGAAAGACAUCACUCACAGAAGAAGCACCGGCUAACUCCGUGCCAGCAGCCGCGGUAAUACGGAGGGUGCGAGCGUUAAUCGGAAUUACUGGGCAUAAAGCGCGCGUAGGUGGCUUGAUAAGCCGGUUGUGAAAGCCCCGGGCUCAACCUGGGAACGGCAUCCGGAACUGUCAAGCUAGAGUGCAGGAGAGGAAGGUAGAAUUCCCGGUGUAGCGGUGAAAUGCGUAGAGAUCGGGAGGAAUACCAGUGGCGAAGGCGGCCUUCUGGACUGACACUGACACUGAGGUGCGAAAGCGUGGGUAGCAAACAGGAUUAGAUACCCCUGUAGUC
rnacentral:rRNA from 1 species